rnacentral:misc_RNA from 1 species
UGCAUAUAUAGGAUUGAAGUAAAUUGAACCUUAAUUAAAAAUAAUAUAGUAUAAGCUUUAACUCAAUAGUAUUAGGGUCGCGAGUUCUAAUAAGAGUCAUUUAAAGAAUAAAAAAAAAGUGUAUAAUAAUUAGUAGGUCUCUCGAGGGUUGUAUUCUUUGGCCUGAAAGAUUGGUCGACACUAACCUUGAAGCCCUGCAAACGGUGGAGCUUGGUUAUCAAUUAGGGUUUGUCAUUCCCAC